rnacentral:rRNA from 1 species
UAGGGAAUCUUCGGCAAUGGACGAAAGUCUGACCGAGCAACGCCGCGUGAGUGAAGAAGGUUUUCGGAUCGUUAAACUCUGUUGUUAGAGAAGAACAAGGACGUUAGUAACUGAACGUCCCCUGACGGUAUCUAACCAGAAAGCCACGGCUAACUACGUGCCAGCAGCCGCGGUAAUACGUAGGUGGCAAGCGUUGUCCGGAUUUAUUGGGCGUAAAGCGAGCGCAGGCGGUUUCUUAAGUCUGAUGUGAAAGCCCCCGGCUCAACCGGGGAGGGUCAUUGGAAACUGGGAGACUUGAGUGCAGAAGAGGAGAGUGGAAUUCCAUGUGUAGCGGUGAAAUGCGUAGAUAUAUGGAGGAACACCAGUGGCGAAGGCGGCUCUCUGGUCUGUAACUGACGCUGAGGCUCGAAAGCGUGGGGAGCAAACAGG